UACGUAGGGCGCGAGCGUUGUCCGGAAUUAUUGGGCGUAAAGAGCUCGUAGGCGGUUAUGUAAGACAGAUGUGAAAUGCCCGGGCUUAACCUGGGAACUGCAUUUGUGACUGCAUGGCUAGAGUUUGGCAGAGGGGGGUAGAAUUCCACGUGUAGCAGUGAAAUGCGUAGAUAUGUGGAGGAACACCGAUGGCGAAGGCAGCCCCCUGGGUCAAGACUGACGCUCAUGCACGAAAGCGUGGGGAGCAAACAGG
rnacentral:rRNA from 1 species